rnacentral:rRNA from 1 species
CCUACGGGUGGCUGCAGUGAGGAAUAUUGGUCAAUGGACGAGAGUCUGAACCAGCCAAGUAGCGUGAAGGAUGACUGCCCUAUGGGUUGUAAACUUCUUUUAUAAAGGAAUAAAACGAGGCACGUGUGCCUGUUUGCAUGUACUUUAUGAAUAAGGAUCGGCUAACUCCGUGCCAGCAGCCGCGGUAAUACGGAGGAUCCGAGCGUUAUCCGGAUUUAUUGGGUUUAAAGGGAGCGUAGGUGGGUUGUUAAGGAAGUUGUUAAAGUUUGCGGCUCAACCGUAAAAUUGCAGUUGAAACUGGCAGUCUUGAGUACAGUAGAGGUGGGCGGAAUUCGUGGUGUAGCGGUGAAAUGCUUAGAUAUCACGAAGAACUCCGAUUGCGAAGGCAGUUCACUGGACUGCAACUGACACUGAGGCUCGAAAGUGUGGGUAUCAAACAGGAUUAGAUACCCCUGUAGUC